ensembl:lncRNA
CCACACUUCACGCGCCUCGCUAUGAAACCUAAUGGAUCAAUGGGUAUUGUUAAGUUCAAUGUUGAGAGAAGAAUCCAUAAAUAACCACAGAUCCGGUCCAGUGUGCAAUUAGACGACAUUUUAAUGUAUACACAUGUGGAGUCCAACACUGAGCAGAUUUCAGCGUCGAACUAUCUUACAACCAGAAGUCAAAGCCUUUAUAGAAGGAAAUAGUACAGCCCACCUCCUUCCUGUUGCUAGGCAAAUAAUACAGUAUACGUCAACUCAAAACCACAAUGACUUUUAACACAGUUUGAAAAGAACAUUGUCUUCGGCUCGACCCCAGGUGUCUUCCUGUUGUCCCCGGACGCUCGCUUAUCUGUCUGGGACAUCAGGCACACUUUCUGCACAACCUGUCACUUACGCAUGCACAAUUUUGCAGUUGCAAGCAAAACAUGAUUAAACUUUCACCUAACUAAAUGAGUCUACCUACAAUGUGUGUGUAUGUGGGUGUAUGUGUGUGUCAACUUCUGCUUGCACUUUGUUUCACCCUUCACUUCAUCAGCUAAGCCUCAUAACCUUUCCACCAGACAGAAGGCCAGCAUAUACUGAAACUAUGUGUGUGUAUGUGUUUAUGUCUGCACAUACACGCUGCACCUUAAUUGACCUCAACUUAAGCAACCAGGCUAAGGCCCUCCUGUGUGUAAUGAUCUUGACUUCUAUGUAAAAUGUAUAAAACAAAGGUUUCAAUCUAAUACAACUACUUGAAGCAUAAUCAAAGCUUAAUCAAAGAUAAAUGCAUAUAAAACACCCUGCUCUUGGCUUACACUCAGACUCUGGUUUCAGUUUCGCUUCUGCAGAAGCAUGCUCUGCAAGCCCUGGUUUCCUGUCUCACUUUGGAGUGGGGCCUUUUCUUUCACCCUGCAGUCUGCAUACAAACAUUUAAGAUCAUAAAUUAAAUUUAACAGUUUGAAGUGGUUCUUGCUGGACCUGUAAUAAAGACUAAUAUAAUACCCAUAUAUUCGAACAUCUGAAUGCCUCUGCAUGCAACAUCACUAUUAAUAAUGAAAUGGUAAUGAUGAUUAUACUAAUAGCAGCAAAUAAUAGCAGUAAAAUAUUUCUCCUCCUGACACUGGUAAUGGACACAUGCGAGGAUACCGAUGAUUACACGCUCGUGG